rnacentral:rRNA from 1 species
AUUGAACGCUGGCGGCAUGCCUAACACAUGCAAGUCGAACGAGUGGCGGACGGGUGAGUAAUAUAUGGGGAUCUGCCUGAUGGAGGGGGAUAACUACUGGAAACGGUAGCUAAUACCGCAUACCAUCAGAUGAACCCAUAUGGGAUUAGCUAGUUGGUUAGGUAACGGCUUACCUAGGCGACGAUCCCUAGCUGGUCUGAGAGGAUGAGCAGCCACACUGGGACUGAGACACGGCCCAGACUCCUACGGGAGGCAGCAGUGGGGAAUAUUGCACAAUGGGCGCAAGCCUGAUGCAGCCAUGCCGCGUGUAGGAAGAAGGCCUUCGGGUUGUAAAGUACUUUCAGUCGGGAGGCGUUACCGACAGAAGAAGCACCGGCUAACUCCGUGCCAGCAGCCGCGGUAAUAC